CAACGGAUAAAAGGUACUCUGGGGAUAACAGGCUGAUACCGCCCAAGAGUUCAUAUCGACGGCGGUGUUUGGCACCUCGAUGUCGGCUCAUCUCAUCCUGGGGCUGUAGCCGGUCCCAAGGGUAUGGCUGUUCGCCAUUUAAAGAGGUACGUGAGCUGGGUUUAAAACGUCGUGAGACAGUUUGGUCCCUAUCUGCCGUGGGCGUUGGAUAUUUGAAGGGGGCUGCUCCUAGUACGAGAGGACCGGAGUGGACGAACCUCUGGUGUACCGGUUGUGACGCCAGUCGCAUCGCCGGGUAGCUAUGUUCGGAAGAGAUAACCGCUGAAAGCAUCUAAGCGGGAAACUCGCCUUAAGAUGAGAUAUCCCUGGGGACUUGAUCCCCUUGAAGGGUCGUUCGAGACCAGGACGUUGAUAGGUCAGGUGUGUAAGCGCAGUAAUGCGUUCAGCUAACUGAUACUAAUUGCCCGUAAGGCUUGAUCCUAUAACA
rnacentral:rRNA from 1 species